GCUUGAGAUGAGAACCAAAUAUCCUCUCCCUUGAUGGGUUAGGUGUGAACUUCCUCCUGAGAUCUGCCUCCUGUAAGGGAAAACAAUUCAGACAUAUGGCCUUUUACCAGGAAAGCUAUACAUUGCUAUAAAAGAAUUGAUCAGACACUUUGGCAUCUACAAGAUGGCUUAGAGGUGAUCUGUUCUGGAGAUCCCAAACUGCGUGGUGACCCUUCAGGCCAAAAAAGAGCAUGGGAUACCCUGG